rnacentral:pre_miRNA from 1 species
CGUGGGGCGGGGGGGUCCCUCAGCCUGGAUUGCAAGAGGGUUCAGGCCAGGCCUAGAGACCCUACCCGUGCACA